GGCCAGACUCCUACGGGAGGCAGCAGUGGGGAAUAUUGCACAAUGGGGGGAACCCUGAUGCAGCGACGCCGCGUGGGUGAAGGAGCACCUCGGUGCGUAAAGCCCUAUCGGCAGGGAAGAAAAGCGAGCAGGUUCGCCUGGACGGUACCUGACUAAGAAGCCCCGGCUAACUACGUGCCAGCAGCCGCGGUAAUACGUAGGGGGCAAGCGUUAUCCGGAUUUACUGGGUGUAAAGGGAGCGUAGACGGCGAUGCAAGUCUGAAGUGAAAGCCCGGGGCUCAACCCCGGGACUGCUUUGGAAACUGUAUGGCUGGAGUGCUGGAGAGGCAAGCGGAAUUCCUAGUGUAGCGGUGAAAUGCGUAGAUAUUAGGAAGAACACCAGUGGCGAAGGCGGCUUGCUGGACAGUAACUGACGUUGAGGCUCGAAAGCGUGGGGAGCAAACAGGAUUAGAUACCCCUGUACG
rnacentral:rRNA from 1 species